rnacentral:lncRNA from 1 species
UAAAUAAUUUUGCUUCGUCUCUCUCGAUGCAAUCGGAUGGUUGCUGUGGACUCAUGAGAGUCAUGGAGUGGAAAUCAACAGCCCAAUGAACUGCACCGUCAUUUUACGAAUCAUGAGGAUUCGUUUGAUCCUGCUUGAAGCCACGUUGGAAUACUCUAUCUCCAUACAUAACAAUAUUUUUAAGGAGCUGGACUUGGGUCUGCCAUAUGGCAACCACCUUCUUGAUCAACAUGUAAGCAAGUUUGUGGAGGGUGGAAAUGUCGCUUUGCGCAUGAUAUAGCACCACCACCACCCUCAUCAUAUAUCUCUAGAAAUCUCUCUGGCACGCACCCAA